CAGAUACAUGUGCGCAUGCACGUGUACACACAUGCAUGCAUACACACAUGCAUUUGUAGAUAUAUGUGUAGGUGUGUACACACAACAUACACAUAUGCAUCCACACAUACACAUAUACAUAUGAGGUGGCACGUUCAGCUUUCAAGAGGACCAUCAGGGACUUUGUCACCUUGACAACUUUAGCCUUGCCUUCUAGUCACCUUGCCGGAACACUUGUGCCCGUGUUUUUCUAGCACUGUCAUAAGAAUACUUUUACCUAUCAAGGCAACUGGGGGUUAGGAGAGCUUUUUGCACAGGAGGCUACUUGGCUUUGUUUGAAAACUGAUGAUACAUGAGGAUUGGGGUGGUGAAUCACUCACAUGUUUCUUCAUAUGAAAAAUGAGGACUGUGGGAUUCUCUGGCUGGAUCUCAGCACCUAGAAAUGGAUCUGGGCAAUAGGAACUGCUCAGUAUUAGCUACCGCUUUGGUUGCCUUCUCCUUGCGGAAAGCUGGCCUCUCACACUGAAUUUGUAUCAUAGGCACUCAUGAGGGUCUUGACUGUAUCAAUAUCUGAUGAGAGAUUUUAGUGCAGUUCUGUUAUCGUGGCUGAUUUGCUCAUUUGGUAGCUAGCAUCCAGCUUCUUGUGAACAUUAAAAUAAAAUAAAAUAGAUUAUGGAGGAAUAGAAUACAGAUACGUAGUAAGGUAUUAUUUUCCAGACAAAAUGGAUUUGGAUAAAAGAAUCUAAUUAAGAACUUGUGCAUGAUUCUUUUAAAAUUCUUUUGAAUCCAUUUUUUUUUUUUUGGCCUGUUUUCAAGUCUCCGAUUUUUGUCACCCUUCUCACACCAGGUCAGAGAGAUAGCUAAUGGUCAGAAGGAAUCUUCCAGCAAUGACCAUAGCGCUUUCUCCUGCCUGCAGAUGCCUCUUUUUAUUCAGCCUUUAUGGGAAGUAGCAGCACCAUCCAGUUCUCAGAGAGCAAGCUCUGGAGUAACUGAGCUAACCCCAGUUACCCCAGUGGAUUUACAGAUUGAGGUUACAACCCAGCAGGGUUCUCUUCCUGGAAAGAAUAGCCUUCCCUCUAAGGUUUCAAAUAGACCCUGGGUGAGGAAGGAGCCCUAAACAGCUUGAAAAAUUGAAUGCUCUUUGGGCAAAGCAGGAAGCCGUCCUAUGGAAGAGCAUCAUUUGAGCAUAAAUCAGGUUAUCAGGACAAACAGAGUGUUCAGGAGGUCAAGAUGGUUAAGCAGAGACCCUGACCAGAAUGUCCGUGGCGGAGAGAAACAAUCUUGUUGGGAAAAGGAUGACAAUAAUUGGGGACUUAGAAUAAAGGCUAAAAAUGAUUCAAAGAGAAUGCAAAAAGAAUCAGGCACAAAUCGUUUACUAUACUCUGUUAUGCAAAUCUCACCUUACUAUGUGUUUGUAUUCUAUUCCUCCACAAUCUUUAUUUUAUUUUAAUGUUCAAAGAGACUUGUAGGUGCCAAUUAAAUGAACAAAACAGCCAGAGACAACAGAACUGCCCUAAAAAAAGUCCCGCAUCAGCUCUUGAGAGCAGGUUCCUUAAAGGUGAACAAUAUUCCACAUACAAGGACUUUUUCAGCACCAUGCAUUAGAAAUGGAAGUGAAUGUUUAUUAUUUUUUGUAUAAGUUGGUUGAUAUGGCUUUUCAGCUUCCCUCAGUAUCAUUAUCCAAAUUUUGUAGAUGACACUAAAGCUCAGAGGAGUUAAACCAUUUUCCUUAAAUCACAUAGCUUUAAAUAGGAAAACCAGAUAUGAAAAGCAGAUUUUUUUUCUAAAUUAAAAAACCAAAAACAAAAACACGUGAGCUCUUGCUUUACCCUAGCACAUAGUCUUGCCAUCUGUUUUCUCCACACCAGGUGAUUCCUGUAACAUUCAUUCACAUAACAAAUACAAAUAAAUGAGUGGAUUCAUUCAUCAGAUAUUAAUUCAGAAUCCCUUUUGUGCCUUCCAGAAAUCUGGACCAUCUCACAACCCCCAGAGAGUCUCAGCUACAAGGAACAAGUGAUAAUGCCAUCCCACUUUUAUAAACACACACACACACACAUGCAAUACACACACAAUCAUUUAAUCAUUUUUAAUUAUUUAAUUAUUUUUUAAAAAUCAGUGACACUUUAGCUGGGCAGGUCUAGAUAGGUCUUCUUUGCUGGGACGUGUCUUUUUCUGUCCUGGAAUACCCUAAACUUCACAUUUUGGCAGCGUGAGUUUUCCCUUUGUGACUUUCUCCUUCUUCCCUUUUUUCCUCCUUCUUUGCAGAGAAUGAGUAGCCACUGCACCUUGCCCUGCGCCAUCAAUGAGAAGAUCUGCUCUUAGUAGAGCCCUGCUUUCCCGCUGAAGGCCCUGAAAUCACCUGUGUUCCAGGCCACCCACUAAGGAUAAACAAAGCUUCCCUGAUAUGGGGAAUUAGCUCAAGUGGUAGAGCGCUUGCUUAGCAUGCAAGAGGUAGUGGGAUCAAUGCCCACAUUCUCCAAGCUUUAUUAUUUAGGUACCCAAACCCGAGUCAGUGUCUGAGAGCAAGACACUGCUCUCGGUGUCUUUGGUUCAAGACAUAGGAGCAGCAACAAUACAGGACUGGUGACAGCUUCCUGCUGGCAUUCAGUAUAGUGUAGAUCUACUGUGUAAUUAAUUUUCUGUUUCUUCGAGGAGCUGUGAAACCAAAGGACAUAUAAAACUGCUCUUUUCUCCCUGUUUCUGCCUGCAGCUUGGUCCUAAAUGUGAGACAAUUGUGAAAAGUGGAGGACAGAGCCACCUGGUUAAAUACAGCCCCAGCUUUCUGGUGAGAGGACUGAAACCAAGAUGUGUCAAGUAACUAGAAUGUGCCUGGACAGAUACUGUAGAAAGCAAAACCAUAAAGUUGUUCAUGAGCUUGUGGACGCACCUGCCAGCUGUGAAUAAGUGGCUCUAAUCCCGAACAACUUACCUAAAAAGAGCCUGAGAGCUGAACUGUGCAAUGGCCCACUUUCCAGUCCUCACUGACCACUGGGUUGCACACACUUUGGAGAUCUCUGAACAGCAGUGUCAAGGCUUUCAAAUAGAGUUAUCUUUGAAACGACAACACAUGAAAGUCUGGUUGGUACUUGGAGCUUAAAUACAAGGCAAUUGUGUGCCUGCAAAAACAAAAAUAGCAAUAUUAUCCUUAAGAUUUCAACAAGACACAGUGUCUCAUCACAUAAUCCAAAGAAGUCCAGGUUACAAGCCCCACAAUAUUCAGCAUUAUGAAAAAACAGGGAGAUCUUAAUUCACAUGGCAAAGAGAAUCCUCGAAUAACAAUAUUGAGAGGACACAGAUGUCAAAAUCAUCUGACACAUACAUUAAAGCAGAUAUUAUAACAAUGCUCCUAGAAUCGGGGAUAACAUUCGUGAAGUGAAUGGAAAGUUGGAAAGUCUCACCAAAUAUUUCGAAUACAUAAACACCAAUUUAAACUUAAGAAUUAAAAAAAUGUAUUAACCAAAACUCUUAGGGGAAAUAAAAAGCUUAAUUGGAGGAUCUCCAUAAUCGAAUGCAGAAGACUAAGGAAAAAGUCAAUGAACUUGAAAACAGAACACGAAUACCUACAUAAUCUGAACUAUAGAGAGAAAGGAGGAUUUUAUUGUCUCUGAACAGAGGCUCAGGCACAAAUAAAAAAUAACAAAUCCAACAUUCACAUUAUUGUAAUCUGGAAAGAAGAGGACAAAGUGGUCUUUGUGGGAUAAAACUUUGAACAAUUAAUAGCUGAAAAUGGUUCAAAUUUGUCAAAAGAUAUAAACCAGAUUUUUAAAGUUCAGUAAAUGUCAAUCAGGAUAAACCCAAAGAAACCCAUAGCAAGGCAUAUCAUAAUCAAACUGCUGAAAACUAAGAAAAUACAAAACAAUUUUGAAAGCAGCCAAAGGGAAAUGAAAGAGAAACUACCAAAUGAAUGAUUGUAGAUUUCGCAUCAGGAACCAUAGGGGCCAGAAAAAAUGUCAUAACAUUCGGUAAGUAACAAAAGAAAAAGACAUAUCGACCCAGAAUGCUAUGUGGAGCAAAAGUAUCUUCCAGACAUAAAGGCAAAUAAAUGCAUUCUCAGUGGAAGGUAAGUAAAUACAUUCUCAUUCUUAGGAAGACUGCUGGAAAAGAAUUAGCAAAGAUUUGAGAUAAGAAAAAUGAUACCAGAAGGAAACUUAGAACAUCAUCAGUGAAGGAACAAAAGCAGAAAUAGAACAUGUCUGGGUAGACAUAACAGACUAUUAUUCUUCCCUUGAGUUCCUUAAGGAGACUACGGAAAAGAAGAGUGACUAAGAUCUCUGAAGAAGGGAAAAGCUAGAUGACUGGGCCACAAGAGGAAAAAAAGCAGCAAGACAGAGAUUUGUUGGUGCCAACUAAAUGAGCCCAACAGCCAGUGACAACAGAACUGCACUAAAAAAAGUCCCUCAUCAGCUCUUGAGAGCAGGUUCCUUAAAGGUGAACAAUAUUCCACAUACAAGGACUUUUUCAGCACCAUGCAUUAGAAAUGGAAGUGAAUGUUUAUUAUUUUUUGUAUAAGUUGGUUGAUACGGCUUUUCAGCUUCCCUCAGUAUCAUUAUCCAAAUUUUGUAGAUGACACUAAAGCUCAGAGGAGUUAAACCAUUUUCCUCAAAUCACAUAGUUUUAAAUAGGAAAACCAGAUAUGAAAAGCAGAUUUUUUUCUAAAUUAAAAAAAAAAAAAAAACUUGAGCUCUUGCUUUACCCUAGCACAUAGUCUCACCAUCUGUUUUCUCCAUGCCAGGUCAUUCAUGUAACAUUCAUUCACAUAACAAAUACAAAUAAAUGAGUGGAUUCAUUCAUCAGCUAUUAAUUCAGAAUCUCUUUUGUGUCUACCACACUAGGCUCAAGACUUCCCAGUGUCUUUGUCUCCUCUCCCUCAAAUCUCUCCACCCAAUGUCUUGACAAAUACUGUAGAUCCUUCCUGCACAGCAUCACCAGAAUGUUUUUCUUUCUUUUCAUUCACCUCUGUCAUCAUCCAUGCUAUGGUGUUUAUGGAGGAUGUAUUCUGCAGCAGGAAGUGUGAUGGGCACUGACGCUGCAGAAAGACUCCUGUUGUCCACCUCGGGAGCUGACACGAUAAAUGCGGACAAUGAGUAGCCACUGCUGUUUGCCCUGGCCCAUCAAUGAGAAGAUCUGCUCUUAGAGCCCUGCUUUCCUGCUGAAGGCCCUGAAAUCACCUGUGUUCCAGGCCACCUGCUAACAAUAAAUAAUGCUGCCCUGAUGUGGGGAAUUAGCUCAAGUGGUAGAGCGCUUGCUUAGCACGCAAGAGGUAGUGGGAUCGAUGCCCACAUUCUCCAAGCUUUAUUAUUUAGACAUCGUGUCUCCAAACACUCAGGUCUCCAAACCCAAGUUAGUGUCUGAGAACAGGAUGCUGCUUUGGUUCAAGACGUAGGAGCAGCAAUAAUAGAGGGCUGGUGAUGGCUCCCUCUUGGCAUUCAGUAUAGUGUAGAUCUACCAUGUAAUUAAUUCUCUGUUUCUUUGAGGAGCUGUGAAACCAAGGGACAUAUACAACUGCUCUUUUCUCCCUGUUUCUACCUGCAGCUUUGUCCUAAAUGUGAGACAAUUAUGAAAAGUGCAGCGCAGAGCCACUUGGGUAAAUACAGCCCCGGCUUUCUGCUCAGGGGACAGAGUUUGAGGCACUGCAGAGGAACCGGCCAAAGUAUGAGACCCAUAUAUUGAGAGUAACAGAGUGUAAAGUUCAAAAAAAUCAAAAUAUUUAAAGAUUUAUCAUGGGUCUUGAUGACAUGAUGGAAUCUCUCUACUCUCUGGACUUAUUAUGUGUGGUAAUAAAUUUACUUUUUAAAAGCCA
rnacentral:tRNA from 1 species